rnacentral:rRNA from 1 species
CCUACACGACCGUACCGCAAACCGACACUGGUGCGCGAGAUGAGUAUUCUAAGGCGCUUGAGAGAACUCAGGAGAAGGAACUCGGCAAAUUGACACCGUAACUUCGGAAGAAGGUGUGCCUUUAGUAGGUGAACCAUUUACUUGGGGAGCCCAAUGAGGCUGCAAAAAAUCGGUGGCUGCAACUGUUUAUUAAAAACACAGCACUCUGCUAAGACGAAAGUCGACGUAUAGGGUGUGACGCCUGCCCGGUGCUGGAAGAUUAAAUGAUGGGGUGCAAGCUCUUGAUUGAAGUCCCAGUAAACGGCGGCCGUAACGAUAACGGUCCUAAGGUAGCGAAAUUCCUUGUCGGGUAAGUUCCGACCUGCACGAAUGGCGUAAUGAUGGCCACACUGUCUCCUCCUGAGACUCAGCGAAGUUGAAAUGUUUGUGAUGAUGCAAUCUCCCCGCGGAAAGACGGAAAGACCCCAUGAACCUUUACUGUAGCUUUGUAUUGGACUUUGAACAGAUCUGUGUAGGAUAGGUGGGAGGCUUUGAAGUGUGGUCGCUAGAUCGCAUGGAGCCAACGUUGAAAUACCACCCUGGUGUGUUUGAGGUUCUAACCUAGGUCCAUUAUCUGGAUCGGGGACAGUGCAUGGUAGGCAGUUUGACUGGGGCGGUCUCCUCCCAAAGUGUAACGGAGGAGUUCGAAGGUACGCUAGGUACGGUCGGACAUCGUGCUAAUAGUGCAAUGGCAUAAGCGUGCUUAACUGCGAGACUGACAAGUCGAGCAGAUGCGAAAGCAGGACAUAGUGAUCCGGUGGUUCUGUAUGGAAGGGCCAUCGCUCAACGGAUAAAAGGUACUCUGGGGAUAACAGGCUGAUACCGCCCAAGAGUUCAUAUCGACGGCGGUGUUUGGCACCUCGAUGUCGGCUCAUCUCAUCCUGGGGCUGUAGCCGGUCCCAAGGGUAUGGCUGUUCGCCAUUUAAAGAGGUACGUGAGCUGGGUUUAAAACGUCGUGAGACAGUUUGGUCCCUAUCUUCCGUGGGCGCUGCAGAUUUGAGGAAGCCUGCUCCUAGUACGAGAGGACCGGAGUGGACGAACCUCUGGUGUAUCGGUUGUCACGCCAGUGGCAUUGCCGAGUAGCUAAGUUCGGAAGAGAUAACCGCUGAAAGCAUCUAAGCGGGAAACUCGUUUCAAGAUUAGAUCUGCCGGGGCCUUGAGCCCCCUAAAGAGUCGUUCAAGACCAGGACGUUGAUAGGUCAGGUGUGGAAGCCA